GAACGCUAGCGGCAGGCUUAACACAUGCAAGUCGAGGGGCAGCGGGGAGGAAGCUUGCUUUCUCCGCCGGCGACCGGCGCACGGGUGAGUAACACGUAUGCAACCUGCCCCUGUCAGGGGGACAACCCGCCGAAAGGCGGGCUAAACCCGCGUACAUGCCACCGGGGCAUCCCGGAGGCAGGAAAGGCUUCGGCCGGACAGGGAUGGGCAUGCGGCGCAUUAGGCAGUAGGCGGGGUAACGGCCCACCUAACCGACGAUGCGUAGGAGUUCUGAGAGGAAGGUCCCCCACACUGGUACUGAGACACGGACCAGACUCCUACGGGAGGCAGCAGUGAGGAAUAUUGGUCAAUGGUCGGGAGACUGAACCAGCCAAGCCGCGUGAGGGAUGAAGGUACAGAGUAUCGUAAACCUCUUUUGUCAGGGAACAAAGGCGGGGACGUGUCCCCGGAUGAGUGUACCUGAAGAAAAAGCAUCGGCUAACUCCGUGCCAGCAGCCGCGGUAAUACGGAGGAUGCGAGCGUUAUCCAGAUUUAUUGGGUUUAAAGGGUGCGCAGGCGGUCUGUUAAGUCAGCGGUCAAAGCCCGGGGCUCAACCCCGGCCCGCCGUUGAAACUGGCAGUCUCGAGUUGGAGAGAAGUAUGCGGAAUGCGCGGUGUAGCGGUGAAAUGCAUAGAUAUCGCGCAGAACUCCGAUUGCGAAGGCAGCAUGCCGGCUCCACACUGACGCUGAGGCACGAAAGCGUGGGUAUCGAACAGGAUUAGAUACCCUGGUAGUCCACGCAGUGAACGAUGAAUGCUGGCUGUCCGGGGGGGAUUGACCCCUGGGUGGCGAAGCGAAAGCGAUAAGCAUUCCACCUGGGGAGUACGCCGGCAACGGUGAAACUCAAAGGAAUUGACGGGGGCCCGCACAAGCGGAGGAACAUGUGGUUUAAUUCGAUGAUACGCGAGGAACCUUACCCGGGCUCAAACGGGGAGUGACUCAGGCAGAGACGCCUGUUUCCCACGGGACACUCCCCGAGGUGCUGCAUGGUUGUCGUCAGCUCGUGCCGUGAGGUGUCGGCUUAAGUGCCAUAACGAGCGCAACCCCCGCGUGCAGUUGCUAACAGAUAACGCUGAGGACUCUGCACGGACUGCCGGCGCAAGCCGCGAGGAAGGCGGGGAUGACGUCAAAUCAGCACGGCCCUUACGUCCGGGGCGACACACGUGUUACAAUGGGUGGUACAGCGGGAAGCCAGGCGGCGACGCCGAGCGGAACCCGAAAUCCACUCUCAGUUCGGAUCGGAGUCUGCAACCCGACUCCGUGAAGCUGGAUUCGCUAGUAAUCGCGCAUCAGCCAUGGCGCGGUGAAUACGUUCCCGGGCCUUGUACACACCGCCCGUCAAGCCAUGGGAGCCGAGGGCGCUUGAAGU
rnacentral:rRNA from 1 species